rnacentral:SRP_RNA from 1 species
GCCAGGUGUGGUACUGCACACCUGUAGUCCCAGGUACUUGGGAGGCUGAGGCGGGAAGAUCACUUGAGCCCAGGAAGUUUAGACUGCAGUGAACUGAGAUCUUGCCACUGCACUUCAGCUUGGGCAACACAGGGAGGCCCUGUCUCAA